rnacentral:rRNA from 1 species
UACGGAGGGUGCAAGCGUUAAUCGGAAUUAUUGGGCGUAAAGGGCGCGUAGGCGGUUACGCAAGUCGGACGUGAAAUCCCAGGGCUCAACCCUGGAACAGCAUCCGAAACUGCGUGACUAGAGGAUAGAAGGAGAAAACGGAAUUCCACAAGUAGCGGUGAAAUGCGUAGAUAUGUGGAAGAACACCUGUGGCGAAGGCGGUUUUCUAUUUUAGACCUGACGCUGAGGCGCGAAAGCAAGGGGAUCAAACAGG